rnacentral:rRNA from 1 species
AUGCGGCGGUGCUCUACUCCGUCUCGUCCCCCAUCCUAUCCAACCAAAUCCGGGACAAACUCUGCUCCACCACCUCCCACUCCCCACUUCGCCUCGCUCUCUGCUCCGCUGUCCACGCGCGCGCGCGCACUCCUAUCCUUGUCGCUCUCCAUGUUGGCCCCUUCCACCGCCACCGCCACCGCCACCGCCACCUGCCUCCUCCUGCCGCGGUCGGCCGCCGCCAGCCGGGGCCUACCCUUGCACUCCCUCCUCCUCUCACGCCGUCGCCCCCGCCACCGCUGCGCCGUCGACGCCAGCAGCGCCGCCGCUUCCGGCGGCGGCGGCGCUGCCAAGGAGCCGCCCAGGACGCUGUUCCCUGGCGGGUUCAAGCGGCCGGAGAUCCAGGUACCGGCGCUCGUCCUCCGUGUUGGCGUCGACGAGGCUCUCGGCUCUGGUGACGCGGUGUCCGCCGCCCUGGCGCGGGGCGUGGGGAUCGUCGUGCUCGAGGCCGGGGAGGAGGGCGGCGGGCGCGCGUACGAGGCCGCGCGCGCGCUCAAGGCGGCGGUAGGGGACCGCGCUUACCUGCUCAUCGCGGAGCGAGUCGACGUCGCCUCCGCGGUCGGGGCGAGCGGCGUCGUGCUAGCCGACGAUGGUAUUCCUGCUAUUGUUGCAAGGAGUAUGAUGAUGAAAUCCAACUCUGACUCCAUAUAUCUCCCGCUUGUCGCUAGAACUAUACGGUCCUCGGACUCUGCCAGAAGCGCUACUAGUUCUGAGGGGGCUGAUUUCCUUAUCGUAAAUACCGGGACGGGUGACUUCUCGAGUGUUUUGAAUGGUGCUGGUGCUCAGCAUGUGAAGAUUCCAGUUUUCUUCACUUUAAAUGAUUUGCAAAGCGAAGGGUCUUAUUCUGAUACCACAUCCAAGCUGUUCCAGUCUGGUGCAUCUGGAAUUGUUUUGUCUUUGACUGGCAUCCAACAUCUUACUGACAAUAUCAUAGAAAGGGAUUUUUUAAAAGUGGAUAGCACCGGUACAGUACCACAAGCCACUUCCUCUUCUGCUAGCGCGUUGGAAGAAACAAAUAAUGUAAUGGUCCUAACUCGUGAGAAGACAAAAGUUGCUGGAUUUACAAAACUGGAUGAAAAAGUGAUGCAGCUAAUAGCGAUGGAAAAGCCUAUUCUUAGUGAAGCUGUUGAUGUUAUCCGCAAGGCAGCACCAAUGAUGGAAGAGGCUGAACUUCUGGUUGAUGCUGCUUCUCGCCUGAGUGAGCCAUUUUUGUUGGUUAUUGUGGGUGAAUUUAACUCGGGAAAAUCAACCUUUAUAAAUGCUCUACUUGGAAGGAAGUAUCUUCAGGAAGGAGUUGUACCCACGACAAAUGAGAUCACACUGCUCUCAUAUUCAGAGGUUGAUUCUGAAAGCAUGGAACGAUGUGAGCGGCACCCGGAUGGUCAAUUCACAUGCUAUUUAUCGGCUCCAAUUUUAAAAGAGAUGAACCUAGUUGAUACACCUGGAACAAAUGUCAUUCUCCAGAGGCAGCAGCGACUCACUGAAGAAUAUGUGCCACGAGCUGACUUGAUACUCUUUGUACUGUCAUCAGAUAGACCAUUGACUGAGAGUGAGGUCGGAUUUCUCCAGUAUGUCCAGCAGUGGAAGAAGAAAGUAGUAUUUGUUCUAAACAAAUUGGACCUCUAUCGGAACAGUGAUGAGCUUGAAGAGGCCACUGCCUUUAUCAAGGAAAACGCAAGGAAAUUACUCAACACUGAGGAUGUAACACUGUUUCCUGUAUCUUCACGCUCUGCUCUGGAAGUCAAACUUUCAUAUUCAAAGAAAAAUGAUAGGGAGCACCAUGGGGAAGUUUUGUUAAGUGAUCCUAGAUGGAGAAGCAGCAAGUUUUAUGAUCUUGAGCAUUACCUACUGAGCUUUUUAGAUGGUUCAACAGAUAAUGGAAAGGAAAGGGUCCGACUGAAACUUGAAACACCAAUUGGUAUUGCAGAUCGUUUGCUAACUUCAUGUCAAAGACUUGUGAAACUAGAACAUGAAAAGGCUAUUGAUGACUUGACAUCCAUCAGGGAUCUUGUUUCUGGUGCAAACAACUAUGCUUUGAAAAUUGAGGCUGAUAGCAAUUCCUGGCAGAAGCAGAUUUCGUCUCUUAUUGAGAGAGCAAAAAGUCGAGCUAUAACGCUCAUGGAAUCUACACUUCAGUUGUCAAACAUUGACCUUAUUUUUACAUACAUGCUCACAGGAGAAAAAGGGCCUUCCGCCAAAGCCACAUCGUUUGUUCAAAAUGAUAUUCUGAGUCCUGCCCUUGACGAUGCAGCUGAUUUAUUGGGUGAAUAUUCAAAAUGGUUGAGUUCUAGCAAUACCCGUGAAGCAAAUUUAUAUCUGGAGUGUUUCCAUGAAAGAUGGAAUUCAUUGGUUAGUCAGGAAGAAAGUGUCUCAUCAGAUCGAACUGAGCUUGUUAAUGAAGGAGAGAAACUCAGCAUAAAAGUGCUGGAUGGCUUCAGUGCUACUGCUGCUGCUAAGGUUUUUGAAGAAGAAAUUCGUGAAGUGGCUACGGGAACUUUUGGAGGGCUUGGGGUUGCGGGAUUGUCAGCCUCUCUUUUGACUUCUGUUCUAACAACUACACUCGAAGAUCUACUUGCUCUUGCUCUUUGCUCAGCUGGCGGGUUUUUUGCAAUAUCGAAUUUCCCUGGUCGACGGAAGCUUGCGGUAGAGAAGGUCAGCAAGGCUGCCGAUGAACUAUCUCGUAAAGUUGAUGAAGCUAUUCAGAAGGAUAUAUCUCAGAGUGGUAGUAAGCUAGUCCAGUUCGUAGACACUGCCAGCAAACCGUACCAGGAAGCAUGCCAGCGAAAAAUUGACUGGCUGCAGGGUGUUCAGGGUGAGUUGUCCGCCGUUGAGCGUAAGCUCCAAACUCUGAAAAUCGACAUCCAAAAUCUGCACGGAUCGUGA